GACGAACGCUGGCGGCGUGCUUAACACAUGCAGGUCGAACGGAAAGGCCCUGCUUUUGUGGGGUGCUCGAGUGGCGAACGGGUGAGUAACACGUGAGUAACCUGCCCUUGACUUUGGGAUAACUUCAGGAAACUGGGGCUAAUACCGGAUAGGAGCUCCUGCUGCAUGGUGGGGGUUGGAAAGUUUCGGCGGUUGGGGAUGGACUCGCGGCUUAUCAGCUUGUUGGUGGGGUAGUGGCUUACCAAGGCUUUGACGGGUAGCCGGCCUGAGAGGGUGACCGGCCACAUUGGGACUGAGAUACGGCCCAGACUCCUACGGGAGGCAGCAGUGGGGAAUAUUGCACAAUGGGCGGAAGCCUGAUGCAGCAACGCCGCGUGCGGGAUGACGGCCUUCGGGUUGUCAACCGCUUUCGCCUGUGACGAAGCGUGAGUGACGGUAAUGGGUAAAGAAGCACCGGCUAACUACGUG
rnacentral:rRNA from 1 species